AGCUCAGUGGUUCUGGCGCCUGUCUUGAAAGCGCAAGGUCCUGAGUUCAAUUCCCGAUACCAAAAAAAAAAAUCUGGAGAGGACCAGGCAAACAUUUUGAGUUACAUGUUUCCUCAGGCGUUACAUAAGGAACAUCGCUGUGAAGUAUGCCAUCUCAAAGCUGAAGCUCUGAUGGAGUGGUUACGGCUGAAAUCUACAGAAAGGUUCACCGAAUGGUCAGAAUUUGUGCUGUAGUUCCAGCUGAGGCUGCCGAUGGGCCUCUGAGGCCUGAAGAUUGAGAGCUUCUUUGCUACUCUGAAGGCCACAACCAGCAGUGGCUCUGCAGCAGUCACCACACCACGAAAGUGAAUAUAUCAAAUUAUACUGUAAACGCUAUGAUACUGUUUCGAUUACCAAGAGAAAAAAGUCAAAGCCUGUGAAUGUUCAAAAAAAAAUUGGCCUCAAGACUAAGUUUUACCAUAAAUAACACGGUGCUGAAAAAAUACAAA